AAACCGGAGGAAGGUGGGGAUGACGUCAAGUCAUCAUGGCCCUUACGGCCUGGGCUACACACGUGCUACAAUGGUCGGUACAAAGGGUUGCCAAGCCGCGAGGUGGAGCUAAUCCCAUAAAACCGAUCGUAGUCCGGAUCGCAGUCUGCAACUCGACUGCGUGAAGUCGGAAUCGCUAGUAAUCGUGAAAUCAGAAUGUCACGGUGAAUACGUUCCCGGGCCUU
rnacentral:rRNA from 1 species